rnacentral:lncRNA from 1 species
UGAACCAUCGCUGCCCCUGCUCGAACUCCGGCGAGCCAGCAUCAUUCAAGGCAAAGCUAAGUUCGAACUUAUUUCUACAGUAUAAUAGGGAUUUGUUUUGUAUACGUCACUCACUUAUUGCUGUCCUUUUAUUAUUGCAUAUAUGUUGCUGGGAGGCUCUAUUGCAUAUCUGUACAUGGUUCGCGACGCCUAGUUGUUUUUCCAAUUUGGUGCAGGCCAUAAAUCAUCUUGAUUCCUAUUUUCGAUUAUGCAAGAGAUUAAACUAAGCAUGUAGUUGUUUCUAUAUCAUAAGAGUUCUUACUGACUUUGUGAUUGCUAAGCCCCUUAAGUAUAUAGACUCAUUUAUGAACUCAGUAUUUUUUUUUUGGUUAAAAGAUGCCUUGAUGGGUAUGAGCAUGUAACAUUGACUAGAAUAACUGAGUUUAGCAAUUACCUUGUAAUUGUUUGGUGUUUGGUGGCUGCUGCUAUUGAUUUCAGUAGGAGAAUAACUGAAAUAAAAAUGAUUCCUUAACGAAUGCAGGUGAACUAUGGAAGAAUGGGGAAGUUCAAGCUACAACUUACCUCUUCGAAAUCAAGGCUGGAGUUAAAAGAAACAACCCUCCCUCUCUGAACUUUGGUGCGCCUAAAAGAAGGAAAAGAAUUAUGGCUGGUGUUGUAUUAUUUUUUUUUAAGUGAAGUUGGCUACUUGACUAUCUUAAUUCCAUAAGAGAGCUUACAAGUGAAGGAAUAGGAUUAGGUAUAAGGUGUGCGGCUGAAAGACCGCUACUUUGUACUAUAGCAUGACUGUGAGUAGGUGGCCG